rnacentral:misc_RNA from 1 species
GAUGAAGAACGUAGUGAAAUGCGAUACUUGGUGUGAAUUGCAGAAUCCCGUGAACCAUCGAGUCUUUGAACGCAAGUUGCGCCCGAAGCCACUAGGCCGAGGGCACGCCUGCCUGGGCGUCACACGCCGUUGCCCCCCCAUCUACUCCUUCGGGAUUGCGGGGGGGCGGAUGAUGGCCUCCUGUGCGCCUAGCCGCGCGGUUGGCAUAAAUACCAAGUCCUCGACGACGCACGCCACGACAAUCGGUGGUUGCGAAACCUCGGUUGCCCGUCGUGUGCGUUCGUCGCGCAUCGAGGGCUCGAAAAAAUGCUCGGCUCCGGCUCGGCUUUCAACGCGACCCCAGGUCAGGCGGGGUUACCCGCUGAAUUUAAGCAUAUCAAUAAGCGGAGGA